UGCUCAGAUUGAACGCUGGCGGCAGGCCUAACACAUGCAAGUCGAACGGCAGCACAGAAGAGCUUGCUCUUUGGGUGGCGAGUGGCGGACGGGUGAGUAAUGUCUGGGAAACUGCCCGAUGGAGGGGGAUAACUACUGGAAACGGUAGCUAAUACCGCAUAACGUCGCAAGACCAAAGUGGGGGACCUUCGGGCCUCACACCAUCGGAUGUGCCCAGAUGGGAUUAGCUAGUAGGUGGGGUAACGGCUCACCUAGGCGACGAUCCCUAGCUGGUCUGAGAGGAUGACCAGCCACACUGGAACUGAGACACGGUCCAGACUCCUACGGGAGGCAGCAGUGGGGAAUAUUGCACAAUGGGCGCAAGCCUGAUGCAGCCAUGCCGCGUGUAUGAAGAAGGCCUUCGGGUUGUAAAGUACUUUCAGCGGGGAGGAAGGCGACGCGGUUAAUAGCCGCGUCGA
rnacentral:rRNA from 1 species